rnacentral:tRNA from 2 species
GGGGGCGUGGUGCUAACGGGAACACGCGGCGUUUGCAACGCCGAGUUGGGGGUUCGAUUCCCCCCGCCUCCA